UGGGGAAUCUUGGGCAAUGGGCGAAAGCCUGACCCAGCAACGCCGCGUGAAGGAUGAAGUAUUUCGGUAUGUAAACUUCGAAAGAAUAGGAAGAAUAAAUGACGGUACUAUUUAUAAGGUCCGGCUAACUACGUGCCAGCAGCCGCGGUAAUACGUAGGGACCAAGCGUUGUUCGGAUUUACUGGGCGUAAAGGGCGCGUAGGCGGUGUGUCAAGUCAGUUGUGAAAUCUCCGAGUUUAACUCGGAACGGUCAACUGAUACUGUCACACUAGAGUACAGAAGGGGCAAUCGGAAUUCUUGGUGUAGCGGUGAAAUGCGUAGAUAUCAAGAGGAACACCUGAGGCGAAGGCGGGUUGCUGGGCUGAUACUGACGCUGAGGCGCGAAAGCUAGGGUAGCAAACGGGAUUAGAUACCCGUGUAGUCCCUGAGCGGGCUGGCAAGGCGCAU
rnacentral:rRNA from 1 species